rnacentral:lncRNA from 1 species
UUCACCGAUACGUGUCCUGCAAGUGUCUUAUGAGUGUCUGUGUGUCCGAUAUGUAUGUCCGACACGGACUCACUAUUUAAAAGAUGUGUCUGAACCUCAUAUACUCCGCACCUAUUAAAGGUAAGAAUCAGCAGCAUUCAAAAGUGAAGCAUAUAUAAUUAUCAGCUAGAAAACCAGAAGGAACUGAAAAAGAAUAAUCAGAACAACCAUGAAACAGUUUGCCAUGUCCCUUUAUAAAGAUUUUGAUUGUAAAGCAAUAACAGGUUACCUGAGUUUUCUCUCUUUUUUUGUUAUUUGCCUUUGCUGAUUUUGGUUUUAAACAGCUUAAGAAUCAGAAAUUUUCAGCCAAGUGAAGGAAUGAGCUAACACCAGCAGUUCUUGUCAUACUAAAACCGGCUACUCAUACAAAGUUCAAAAGAAUAGACAAAUGAAUGAAUAUGAAGAAAUUAAGGAGAAUGAUAGAGAUGUUGAUUGGUGAAAGGCCAUGA